GUAGGGAAUCUUGCGCAAUGGGCGAAAGCCUGACGCAGCCAUGCCGCGUGAAUGAUGAAGGUCUUAGGAUUGUAAAAUUCUUUCACCGGGGACGAUAAUGACGGUACCCGGAGAAGAAGCCCCGGCUAACUUCGUGCCAGCAGCCGCGGUAAUACGAAGGGGGCUAGCGUUGCUCGGAAUUACUGGGCGUAAAGGGCGCGUAGGCGGACAGUUUAGUCAGAGGUGAAAGCCCAGGGCUCAACCUUGGAAUUGCCUUUGAUACUGGCUGUCUUGAGUUUGGGAGAGGUGAGUGGAACUCCGAGUGUAGAGGUGAAAUUCGUAGAUAUUCGGAAGAACACCAGUGGCGAAGGCGACUCACUGGCCCAAUACUGACGCUGAGGCGCGAAAGCGUGGGGAGCAAACAGGAUUAGAAACCCGGGUAGUCC
rnacentral:rRNA from 1 species